CGCCUGUUUAUCAAAAACAUGUCCUGCUCUAUUUGAGGUUAUUUAUAGUCUAGCCUGCUCACUGACAAAAAGUGUUAAAUAGCCGCGGUAUUUUGACCGUGCAAAGGUAGCAUAAUCAUUAGUUUUUUAAUUGGAAACUUGUAUGAAUGGUUGGACAAAGAAAAGACUGUCUCUUUUAUUAAAAUUGAAAUUAACUUCUAAGUGAAAAGGCUUAGAUUUUCUAGAGGGACGAUAAGACCCUAUAAAGCUUCAUAAGUUAAAUAAAUUAGAUGGAUUUUUAGAAUAAAAGUAAAUUUAGUAAGCUUAUUUAGUUGGGGCGACAAGGGUAUAAAAUUAAAUAACUGCUAUUAAGGUUAGACAAUUAUAUUUGGUUGGAUUGUAAUUGAUCCUCGCUAUGGAUUAAAAGAUUAAGUUACUUUAGGGAUAACAGCGUAAUUUCUUUUAAGAGUUCUUAUCAAAGGAGAAGUUUUGCGACCUCGAUGUUGAAUUAAAAUGUCUUUAUAGUGCAGAAGCUAUAAAAGAAGGUCUGUUCGACCUUUUAAUUUUUUACGUGAUCUGAGUUCAGACCGG
rnacentral:rRNA from 1 species